CGAACGCUGGCGGCGUGCUUAACACAUGCAAGUCGAACGGAAAGGCCCUGCUUGCAGGGUACUCGAGUGGCGAACGGGUGAGUAACACGUGGGUGAUCUGCCCUGCACUUCGGGAUAAGCCUGGGAAACUGGGUCUAAUACCGGAUAUGACCUUCCAUGUAGUGUGGGGGGUGGAAAGAUUUAUCGGUGUGGGAUGAGCCCGCGGCCUAUCAGCUUGUUGGUGGGGUAAUGGCCUACCAAGGCGUCGACGGGUAGCCGGCCUGAGAGGGUGGACGGCCACAUUGGGACUGGGAUACGGCCCAGACUCCUACGGGAGGCAGCAGUGGGGAAUAUUGCACAAUGGGCGGAAGCCUUAUGCAGCGACGCCGCGUGGGGGAUGACGGCCUUCGGGUUGUAAACCUCUUUCGACAGGGACGAAGCUUCGGUGACGGUACCUGUAUAAGAAGCACCGGCUAACUACGUG
rnacentral:rRNA from 1 species